rnacentral:rRNA from 1 species
CCUACGGGUGGCAGCAGGAGGGAAUAUUGCUCAAUGGGGGAAACCCGGAAGCAGCAACGCCGCGUGGAGGAUGAAGGUUUUCGGAGGGGAAACUCCUUUUGUUAGAGAAGAGAAUGACGGUAUCUAACGAAUAAUCACCGGCUAACUCCGUGCCAGCCGCCGCGGUAAUACGGAGGGUGCAAGCGUUACUCGGAAUCACUGGGCGUAAAGGGCGCGUAGGCGGGAUAGCAAGUCAGAUGUGAAAUCCUAUGGCUUAACCAUAGAACUUCAUUUGAAACUGUUAUUCUAGAGUAUGGGAGAGGUAGGUGGAAUUCUUGGUGUAGUGGUCAAAUCCGUAGAGAUCACGAGGAAUACUCAUUGCGAAGGCGACCUGCUAGAACAUAACUGACGCUGAUGCGCGAAAGCGUGGGGAGCAAACAGGAUUAGAUACCCCAGUAGUC